rnacentral:rRNA from 1 species
GAACGCGUUGGCCCAAUUGAUUGAUGGUGCUUGCACCUGAUUGCCUUUGGUCGCCAACGAGUGGCGGACGGGUGAGUAACACGUACCUAACCUGCCCAGAAGCGGGGGACAACAUUUGGAAACAGAUGCUAAUACCGCAUAACAACGUUGUUCGCAUGAACAACGCUUAAAAGAUGGCUUCUCGCUAUCACUUCUGGAUGGACCUGCGGUGCAUUAGCUUGUUGGUGGGGUAAUGGCCUACCAAGGCGAUGAUGCAUAGCCGAGUUGAGAGACUGAUCGGCCACAAUGGGACUGAGACACGGCCCAUACUCCUACGGGAGGCAGCAGUAGGGAAUCUUCCACAAUGGGCGCAAGCCUGAUGGAGCAACACCGCGUGAGUGAAGAAGGGUUUCGGCUCGUAAAGCUCUGUUGUUAAAGAAGAACACGUAUGAGAGUAACUGUUCAUACGUUGACGGUAUUUAACCAGAAAGUCACGGCUAACUACGUGCCAGCAGCCGCGGUAAUACGUAGGUGGCAAGCGUUAUCCGGAUUUAUUGGGCGUAAAGAGAGUGCAGGCGGUUUUCUAAGUCUGAUGUGAAAGCCUUCGGCUUAACCGGAGAAGUGCAUCGGAAACUGGAUAACUUGAGUGCAGAAGAGGGUAGUGGAACUCCAUGUGUAGCGGUGGAAUGCGUAGAUAUAUGGAAGAACACCAGUGGCGAAGGCGGCUACCUGGUCUGCAACUGACGCUGAGACUCGAAAGCAUGGGUAGCGAACAGGAUUAGAUACCCUGGUAGUCCAUGCCGUAAACGAUGAGUGCUAGGU